rnacentral:rRNA from 1 species
AGCGAACGCUGGCGGCAGGCCUAACACAUGCAAGUCGAGCGCCGUAGCAAUACGGAGCGGCAGACGGGAGAGUAACACGUGGGAACGUGCCCUUCAGUUCGGAACAACCCAGGGAAACUUGGGCUAAUACCGGAUACGUCCGUAAGGAGAAAGAUUUAUCGCUGAAGGAUCGGCCCGCGUCUGAUUAGCUAGUUGGUGGGGUAACGGCCCACCAAGGCGACGAUCAGUAGCUGGUCUGAGAGGAUGAUCAGCCUCACUGGGACUGAGACACGGCCCAGACUCCUACGGGAGGCAGCAGUGGGGAAUAUUGGACAAUGGGCGCAAGCCUGAUCCAGCCAUGCCGCGUGGGUGAUGAAGGCCCUAGGGUUGUAAAGCCCUUUCGGCGGGGAAGAUAAUGACGGUACCCGCAGAAGAAGCCCCGGCUAACUUCGUGCCAGCAGCCGCGGUAAGAC